CAGAAAGUGUGCAAAUCCAGAGCGAGCACACUUCUACCGACAUUUAUGUCAACAUCAGUGACCAACUGAAUCUCGACUGCACAGUGGGCGAAUCCAACCCUUCCCCGACCGUAUCAUGGUUCAAGGAUGGAGAGUUGUUGCUUGAAGGAGACUCGAUGUUUGUGAUUGAACAAGUUGGGGAAACAGAUCUUGGGGUGUACGUGUGCAAAGCAACAAGUGAUUCACCAAGUUUGGAUGUAAAUUGGAGAGUGUCUAGUGACCCUGUCACGGGGUAUAUGCAUGCAGACACCCAUAUGACGACAACAGACACAGCCACGUCCCACAUAGAUACAACUCCACAUGUUACAACC